GAGUUUGAUCGUGGCUCAGAUUGAACGCUGGCGGCAGGCCUAACACAUGCAAGUCGAACGGUAACAGGAAGCAGCUUGCUGCUUCGCUGACGAGUGGCGGACGGGUGAGUAAUGUCUGGGAAGCUGCCUGAUGGAGGGGGAUAACUACUGGAAACGGUAGCUAAUACCGCAUAAUGUCGCAAGACCAAAGAGGGGGACCUUCGGGCCUCUUGCCAUCGGAUGUGCCCAGAUGGGAUUAGCUUGUUGGUGGGGUAACGGCUCACCAAGGCGACGAUCCCUAGCUGGUCUGAGAGGAUGACCAGCCACACUGGAACUGAGACACGGUCCAGACUCCUACGGGAGGCAGCAGUGGGGAAUAUUGCACAAUGGGCGCAAGCCUGAUGCAGCCAUGCCGCGUGUAUGAAGAAGGCC
rnacentral:rRNA from 1 species